rnacentral:rRNA from 1 species
UACAGAGGGUGCAAGCGUUGUUCGGCAUUAUUGGGCGUAAAGCGCGUGUAGGCGGCUUUGCAAGUCGGGUGUGAAAGCCCUCAGCUCAACUGAGGAAGUGCGCCCGAAACUGCAGAGCUUGAGUGCCGGAGAGGGUGGCGGAAUUCCCCAAGUAGAGGUGAAAUUCGUAGAUAUGGGGAGGAACACCGGUGGCGAAGGCGGCCACCUGGACGGUAACUGACGCUGAGACGCGAAAGCGUGGGGAGCAAACAGG